rnacentral:rRNA from 1 species
AGAGUUUGAUCCUGGCUCAGAACGAACGCUGGCGGCAGGCCUAACACAUGCAAGUCGAACGCCCCGCAAGGGGAGUGGCAGACGGGUGAGUAACACGUGGGAACCUUCCCUUUGGUACGGAAUAACCCACCGAAAGGUGGAUUAAUGCCGCAUAAGCCCGUGAGGGGAAAGAUUUAUCGCCAAAGGAUGGGCCCGCGUAGGGUUAGCUAGUUGGUGAGGUAAUGGCUCACCAAGGCGACGAUCCUUAGCUGGUCUGAGAGGACGACCAGCCACACUGGGACUGAGGCACGGCCCAGACUCCUACGGGAGGCAGCAGUGGGGAAUAUUGGACAAUGGGCGCAAGCCUGAUCCAGCCAUGCCGCGUGAGUGAUGAAGGCCUUCGGGUUGUAAAGCUCUUUUGGCGGGGACGAUAGUGACGGUACCCGCAGAAUAAGCCCCGGCUAACUUCGUGCCAGCAGCCGCGGUAAUACGAAGGGGGCUAGCGUUGUUCGGAAUCACUGGGCGUAAAGCGCACGUAGGCGGAUCUAUAAGUCAGGGGUGAAAUCCCGGGGCUCAACCUCGGAACUGCCUUUGAUACUGUGGGUCUUGAGUUCGAUAGAGGUGAGUGGAA